UGGCGUAAACAGAGGGAAGCGAACCCGCGAGGGGGAGCGAAUCCCAAAAAUAACGUCCCAGUUCGGAUUGUAGUCUGCAACCCGACUACAUGAAGCCGGAAUCGCUAGUAAUCGCGGAUCAGAAUGCCGCGGUGAAUACGUUCCCGGGUCUUGUACACACCGCCCGUCAAACCAUGAGAGUUGGCAACACCCGAAGUCGGUAGUCUAACCGCAAGGAGGACGCCGCCGAAGGUGGGGUUGAUGAUUAGGGUUAAGUCGUAACAAGGUAAC
rnacentral:rRNA from 1 species